rnacentral:rRNA from 1 species
UAGGGAGGCAGCAGUGGGGAAUAUUGGGCAAUGGGCGAAAGCCUGACCCAGCGACGCCGCGUGAGUGAAGAAGGUCUUCGGAUUGUAAAGCUUAGUUAUCGGGGAAGAAGGAAGUGACGGUACCCGAAGAGAAAGCCACGGCUAACUACGUGCCAGCAGCCGCGGUAAU